CAGCCGCCACGGGAAAACGGAGGGGGCUAGCGUUGUUCGGAAUUACUGGGCGUAAAGCGCACGUAGGCGGCUUGGUAAGUUAGAGGUGAAAGCCCAGGGCUCAACCCUGGAAUUGCCUUUAAGACUGCCGAGCUAGUAGGUGAGAGAGGUGAGUGGAAUUCCGAGUGUAGAGGUGAAAUUCGUAGAUAUUCGGAAGAACACCAGUGGCGAAGGCGGCUCACUGGCUCAUUCUAGACGCUGAGGUGCGAAAGCGUGGGGAGCGAACAGGAUUAGAUACCCCCGUAGUCCCUGUCUCUUAUAA
rnacentral:rRNA from 1 species